rnacentral:rRNA from 1 species
CCUCCUUUGUUCCUCCUUGCGGCAUCUUGGUCAAUGGACGAGAGUCUGAACCAGCUACGUAGCGUGAAGGAUGACUGCCCUAUGAGUUGUAAACUUCUUUUAUAAAGGACUAAAACGAGUCACGUGUGCCUUAUUGCAUGUACUUUAUGAAUAAGGAUCGGCUAACUCCGUGCCAGCAGCCGCGGUAAUACGGAGGAUCCGAGCGUUAUCCGGAUUUAUUGGGUUUAACGGGAGCGUCGAUGGGUUGUUAAGUCAGUUGUGAAAGUUUGCGGCUCAACCGUAGAAUUGCACUUGAUACUGGCAGUCUUGAGUACAGGUGAGGUAGGCGGAAUUCGUGGUGUAGCGGUGAAAUGCUUAGAUAUCACGAAGAACCCCGAUGGCGAAGGCAGCUUACUAAACUGUGACUGACAUUGAUGCUCGAAAGUGUGGGUAUCAAACAGGAUUAGAUACCCCUGUAGUC